rnacentral:rRNA from 2 species
GGACUACUCGGGUAUCUAAUCCUGUUUGCUCCCCACGCUUUCGUGCCUGAGCGUCAAUCUCAGCCCAGGGGGCUGCCUUCGCCAUCGGUGUUCCUCCACAUCUCUACGCAUUUCACUGCUACACGUGGAAUUCCACCCCCCUCUGCCAGAUUCAAGUCUCCUAGUUUCCACUGCCAUUCCCAGGUUGAGCCCGGGGAUUUCACAACGGACUUGAAAGACCGCCUACGCACUCUUUACGCCCAGUAAUUCCGAUUAACGCUCGCACCCUACGUAUUACCGCGGCUGCUGGCAC